CCUACGGGAGGCUGCAGUGGGGAAUAUUGCACAAUGGGCGCAAGCCUGAUGCAGCCAUGCCGCGUGUGUGAAGAAGGCCUCCGGGUUGUAAAGCACUUUCAGCGGGGAGGAAGGCGGUGAGGUUAAUAACCUCAUCGAUUGACGUUACCCGCAGAAGAAGCACCGGCUAACUCCGUGCCAGCAGCCGCGGUAAUACGGAGGGUGCAAGCGUUAAUCGGAAUUACUGGGCGUAAAGCGCACGCAGGCGGUCUGUCAAGUCGGAUGUGAAAUCCCCGGGCUCAACCUGGGAACUGCAUUCGAAACUGGCAGGCUAGAGUCUUGCAGAGGGGGGUAGAAUUCCAGGUGUAGCGGUGAAAUGCGUAGAGAUCUGGAGGAAUACCGGUGGCGAAGGCGGCCCCCUGGACAAAGACUGACGCUCAGGUGCGAAAGCGUGGGGAGCAAACAGGAUUAGAUACCCCAGUAGUC
rnacentral:rRNA from 1 species